GCGGACGUGGCGGAAUUGGUAGACGCACUGGAUUUAGGUUCCAGCGCCGUAAGGUGUGAGAGUUCGAGUCUCUCCGUCCGCACCA
rnacentral:tRNA from 1 species